rnacentral:misc_RNA from 1 species
GUAGGUGAACCUGCGGAAGGAUCAUUAACGAAUCUCACCAUUCGAUGUAUGUGAACCCAGACUAAUGAACUUUGAGAUUGAACCUAAAGAUUUACCAUCUUGGGUACUCUUGGAGUUUUGAAGUCAUUGAAGUCUGAUGGACUUUGAGCCAUCAGUCGUUUUUUAAACCAACCUUUACUAUUCAUGCUUAAUGACUGAAAACACUUGUUUAGUGUAAUUAUAACACAAAGACAACUUUUAGCAACGGAUCUCUAGGCUCUC